GAUCAACUGGCUCAGCCACAUUCUCCAGACACGCUAACAGGGAUUUCCUGAUCGUCCUAACCCACAUUUGAAAAAGCAAAAGCUAUAGCGUGAAACCUCUUACUGCAGACUUUAUUCAUCUGCCAUGUAGGAUUGAGAUAUUUAGAGCACCUAAAUACAUGUGGAACUGACCGAGUAUCAUUUCCGUGCUCAUUUUGCACAGGCAGUGAAAAGACAGAACUAAGACAGAGAAGGGGAUGAAUCUCACUGGACUUUGAUGGAAGAUUUAGCAGGUAAUCCAGACGUUUGGAAGAAAGAGGAUGGGUCAAACACUGUCAUAUACAACUAUUUUGAAUGUGACAUCAAUAGCAUGGUGGAUGCUCAUUUUAUCCGUGCCUUAAACAAAGGUAAACCAAGUUCCAACUACAGAAAAGGCCCAGUGGAGGACCGGCAAUUGGAAUGUUCAUCAUCCUUGGGUCCUGCAGGUCCUCAUAAGACCUCACAUGGCGCACUUCCGACAGCUGUGGAGCCUCUUACAACCCUGCCUCUGUCGUAUGGUCUGACCGGUGAAACCCUGGACCUGCUGACUGGAGGGCCCGGGCAGAUGGUAGGUGUUGAACUGCCCUCUCUGUUGUACUCGCUGCCGGAGCCUGCUGAGGACCUGGACCUGAUGGAGAGGAAUUAUGGGAGCUCUCUGCUCAGAGUGCUGCACGGUGACCGCCCGGAACUGGGGACAGUAGUGGUGGCUGGACCCAAGGCCGGGGUCAUCCACAGAUGGGCCCACAACCAUUUGCGCACACAACAGCCUAACCCUGAUGAAAGACAUAGCUCUGGUAGAUUAUACCUUCCUACUGACUAACUACAGUACUUAAUUAAUGUCAUAUGGUGCUAUGCAAUGCUGAGCCAGAAUGUGACUUGUCAAAAGCUUUGUUCAGAAAACCUGACAUGUAUCUGUGUGUCUGCCUAGCAUAUUGAGUGAGAUGUGUAGUGCAGCCAAGGCCAUUAUCCAACAUCACCUUUUUCUGGAAGAGGAUGAUGAGGGUCAUUUGAUUUAGCAGUUAUGCAUAGAGGGAUGUUGACUAAUUUAUUUUGUGUUGGUGUCAGGGUUUCAUAACAUGGGCAUUACCUUCCACAUGCGCUUGUGAUGAUUAGGUGAAUUAAGUGUUUUUAUUAAAACUACAUCUUACUAUGCCUAUAA